CCAGUAAGCCACAUACUUCAUGGCUCUUGUCUGCAGCAUCCUUCCCUGUUUGAGUUCCAGUCCUGACUUCCUUCAGUGAUCAGCAAUAUGGAAGUCUCUGCUCAGAUAUUUAGCUAAUGUUGGAAUGCAGUGCCUAUCCCUUGGGACGUGUUUUUCAGCUGAGCAAGUCAGAAAAAUCAUCUGAUGCCCUCAAGGAAAUCUACCAUGAGCAGAUGGCACCACCUAUCUUCAGAUCCUCCUGUUUUGCUUUGGUUACCCAUAUAAACUUCAUGUGCCAGCUUUACCUCUUGGCUUUCAGUUGAGGUCAAUUAGAGAAGAACAUUGCUGAAAGACCUGACAUGGGCAGAAUAUAAACUCUAGGCUUAUUUUCUCUGGUUUCCACUCCAAGAUAUCUCUGUGUACUUGGUGUGGUUUUCUGCCACAAAUCACAGAUACUACCAGAGAAUGCCUAUACGCAGCUCCCCUCUUCUCUGGUCUCUGUUAAUUGAUCCCUCCCCUUACCCACUUGCUCCCUCCCCUUACCCACCUCAGACCUAUUAAUGGCUUCUUCAUGGUAUUAGCCCCAGG